rnacentral:sRNA from 1 species
UUCAGAGAACUGGAAAGUUAAGUUCUGAAUUUGCCCACAGAGGAUGUAGAGCACAGGCAAGUGUCUGCUCCACAGCACUGACAAGUCUCAGCCCUGACCCAAAGAGACCCAGCCAGCAGGGAUGAGGUGGUAGCUUCCUCUUCAUUAAUCCCUUAGGGGCU